rnacentral:rRNA from 1 species
AACGAACGCUGGCGGCAUGCCUAACACAUGCAAGUCGAACGAGACCGUCGGGCCUAGUGGCGCACGGGUGCGUACCGCGUGGGAACCUGCCCUUAGGUUAGGAAUAACUCCCCGUGAGGGGAGCUAAUAAAGGAUAAUGUAUUCGCACCAAAGAUGUAUCGCCUUUGGGUGGGGCCGCGUUAGUUUAGCGAGUUGGUAGGGUAAAAGCCUGUCAAUGCGUCGAUGCUUAGCUGGUGGGAGAGCAGGACCAGCAACGCUUGCCGUGAGACACGGCCCAGAGUCCUACGGGAGGGAGCAGUGGGGAAUAUUGGACGAGGGACGAAAGUCUGAUCCAGCAGUGCCGGGUGAGUGAUGAAGGCCUUAGUGUAGUAAAGCUCUUUUACCCGGGAUGAGAGUGACAGUACCGGGAGAAGAAGCACCGGCUAACUCCGUG